UGACUAGAGCAUUCACGCUUAU
rnacentral:miRNA from 1 species